rnacentral:lncRNA from 1 species
UGCAUUUCCGACACUUCAGUCUCUCAAAGGGGGUUUCCUACAGUUGCUUCCUGACAUCCUAAGAGUCCACAUCCCCACCCAGAGAAAGAGAAGCCCGGAAAAACUCUGACAGAUCUCUGGCCAGCAACCCUGUGGACGGGUGGGGAGACGAGUUCAAGAAAGAGAAAAGACAUGUCCCGGCACGGGGCUCCUACCUCCCCAUCCACCGUGCUUUCCGGUGUACCAGAGCUGCGCCUUUCCACGUUUGCCUAGGGUGCAGGCAAGACAUGUUUGUGAAGUUGGGAGGUCACAGGGACGGGAGGGAGGGAUUCUGAUGAUAAGGACAAUACAACCCUUCCUAGAAGUCCGAAUUCUAGUACCUCCUAUUUUCUCUGUCGCUAACAGAAGAGCCCUGGCAACACCCAGACAGGAGAAAUCCAAAGGGAGGACAGUACUUUGCAAGCUUGUUUCAAACUCUUCAAGAAAGCAGCAAGACAUUUUGACCUGCCAUUCUGACCCUCUGGGCCUUCUGGCCAGAUUACCAGAGAAAAUUCGGCUUGAGAGAAAUGAUGCACCCCAAACAAAGCUGGUGAUCAACAAAGGUAAAAUUACCCACCAAAAACAUUUGUUGAAAAUAAUAAGCAAACUGAAAAAGCACACUCCUUGCUACAUUUAAAAACUGACCCUGAAAAAAUCAAACCUCAUAGAAAAAACUUCAACACAAAAUAAAACUGAAACCAACUAAAACUGCAGACCAUGAAAGUCACUAACCAAAAACUGAUGAAAGAAUCCAACAACUCAGAUAUGCAAAAUUUUACCCAGGACAGUGGUGGAAAGAAUGGCAGAAGCUAACAUGAGUACUAACAGCAAGCAAGCCAACAGAAUCAGAACCAAAUUUUGUGGUAAAAUGCACAUGGGAAGGUAGUGAUCCUAAUGAAAAUAAUUUCGGUUUAAAAAAGCGAAAAGGAAGAACUUAUGAAGGAACAGCUUCAUAUUGGUACACAGAAAAUGGCUGUGGUACUAAAUCGACUUGCAGUGCUGAUAUCACCUGGUUCAAGUGUUUAUAUCUGUGAACCAAAUAGGAACAUCUACUGGGAAAAAAAAUGACAAAACAAAAAAACACCCUUGUCCUUUUUCAGAAAAGUGGUCAAAAGUCAAGCCUUGGCAAAAACCACAAACACAGCCUGCUCCGUCUUACACUUCCCAGCUUCCUUGAAGGAACCAGGACUCCUCUGUUGAGCACUUGUCACCUUGCCUGAUCAGCACCAGACACCAGAAAGAAGUCAGACCCCAGCCUGAUGAACAGGCAUGGUGGGUAGACCACCAGGAGAUGCCCAGCCCUGCCCACUGAGCUGACCUCAGGCAGGUGAUGGCCUCUAACCACCUUGGGGACACAUAUCCUAUGGUCAAUGGGGCCUGUCCGCUACGAAACCUGAAGAGACCAUGGUACCACUCCCCACCUGGAGAAGCCCAGGGAUCUCCAUCCUCCGCCCUUGGGGGGAUGGGGAGAAAAUAUCUCUAUGGGGUGGAGGUUGGGGUAAUAGGGCAGUCAGCAAUUUCACUCUUUACUUCUCCGUGUGUUCUAAAUUUUCCACAAUAAUUAUAUAUUACAGUUAUGUUAAAGUGGGGAGGGAAGCAUUAAAGACAAAAGCCAAAACACCUGCUCUAAGAAUAACUGACUCUGGGCCGGGUGCAGUGGCUCAUGCCUAUAAUCCCAGUACUUUGGGAGGCUGAGGUGGGCAGAUCACCUGAGGUCAGGAAUUCGAGACCAGCCUGGCCAACAUGGCGAAACCCUGUCUCUACUAAAAAAUACAAAAAUUAGCCAGGUGUGGUGGUGCACGCCUGUAAUACCAGCUACUCAGGAGGCUGAGGCAGAAUUGCUUGAAUCCGGAAGGCGGAGGUUGCAGUGAGCCGAGAUUGCACCACUGCACUCCAGCCUGGGUGACAGAGCAAGACUCCAACUCGAAAAGAAAAAAAAAAAAAAAAGAAUGACUGACUCUGGGAUGUGUUUCCUCACAUGAAAGGUUCAGAUGACCCUGGGAGCUCAAGAUGGCACAAUCUUUAAUGUAUCUGCAAUUAUGCAGGGUUGAAAGUUCCAAGUUUUAAGUCAAAGGCAA